AGAGUUUGAUCAUGGCUCAGGAUGAACGCUGGCGGCGUGCUUAACACAUGCAAGUCGAACGAACCUUCGGGUUAGUGGCGGACGGGUGAGUAACGCGUGAGAAUCUGCCCUCAGGAGGGGGAUAACGGUUGGAAACGACCGCUAAUACCCCAUAUGCCUACUGGUGAAAUGAAUUUCGCCUGAGGAUGAGCUCGCGUCUGAUUAGCUAGUUGGUGAGGUAAUGGCUCACCAAGGCUUCGAUCAGUAGCUGGUCUGAGAGGAUGAUCAGCCACACUGGGACUGAGACACGGCCCAGACUCCUACGGGAGGCAGCAGUGGGGAAUUUUCCGCAAUGGGCGAAAGCCUGACGGAGCAACGCCGCGUGAGGGACGAAGGCUUCUGGGCUGUAAACCUUUUUUCUCAAGGAAGAAGAUAUGACGGUACUUGAGGAAUAAGCCACGGCUAAUUCCGUGCCAGCAGCCGCGGUAAUACGGGAGUGGCAAGCGUUAUCCGGAAUUAUUGGGCGUAAAGCGUCCGCAGGCGGCUUUUCAAGUCUGCUGUUAAAGCGUGGAGCUUAACUCCAUCAUGGCAGUGGAAACUGAAAGGCUUGAGUAUGGUAGGGGCAGAGGGAAUUUCCGGUGUAGCGGUGAAAUGCGUAGAUAUCGGGAAGAACACCAGUGGCGAAGGCGCUCUGCUGGGCCAUUACUGACGCUCAUGGACGAAAGCCAGGGGAGCGAAAGGGAUUAGAUACCCCUGUAGUCCUGG
rnacentral:rRNA from 1 species